AUAAAACAAGAAUGUGUCCAAAGUACACGGAUGCCCCACUCCCGCUAUCAUUUUCCAUGUUCAAUGGACCGUGAAAUUGGAUAAAAAAUAUAAUAAGGCAUUAAAAUUAGAAAGAUAAUAUCAUAGGGAACAUUUGUACUAAGUUUCAAGUUGAUUGGACUUCAACUUCAUCAAAAACUACCUUGACCAAAAACUUUAACCUGAAACAUGCACUUUCAUUUUCUAUGUUCAGUGGACCGUG
rnacentral:lncRNA from 1 species